rnacentral:rRNA from 1 species
AUUGAACGCUGGCGGCAGGCCUAACACAUGCAAGUCGAGCGGAUGAAGGGAGCUUGCUCCUGGAUUCAGCGGCGGACGGGUGAGUAAUGCCUAGGAAUCUGCCUGGUAGUGGGGGAUAACGUCCGGAAACGGGCGCUAAUACCGCAUACGUCCUGAGGGAGAAAGUGGGGGAUCUUCGGACCUCACGCUAUCAGAUGAGCCUAGGUCGGAUUAGCUAGUUGGUGGGGUAAAGGCCUACCAAGGCGACGAUCCGUAACUGGUCUGAGAGGAUGAUCAGUCACACUGGAACUGAGACACGGUCCAGACUCCUACGGGAGGCAGCAGUGGGGAAAAUUGGACAAUGGGCGAAAGCCUGAUCCAGCCAUGGCGCGUGUGUGAAGAAGGUCUUCGGAUUGUAAAGCACUUUAAGUUGGGGGGAAGGGCAGUAAGUUAAUACCUUGCUGUUUUGACGUUACCAACAGAAUAAGCACCGGCUAACUUCGU